UCCGCAUUGGUCCAGUGGUUAGGAUUUCACGCUUUCACCGUGACGGCCAGGGUUCGAUUUCCUAAUGUGAAA
rnacentral:tRNA from 1 species